UAGCGAUGGCCCCCUGAUCCCACUUUCUCUCUCAAACUGUCUUUUCUCAUUCCUUUGACUCCACCUGACUUUGUUGCCCCCAUGACCUGAUGUUGGGUCCAAUUACCCCAGCAUUCCCCCAUGCUGUUCUCAUGAGAGUGAGUGAAUUCUCAUGAGAUGUGAUGGUUUUGUAAGGGGCUCUUCCCCCUUUGCUCCCGCUGUCUUUCCUGCCGCCUUGUGAAGAAAGUGCCUGCUUCUCCUUCCACCGUGACUAUCCUUCCCAGCCAUGGGAAACUGGUCAGCACACUUUACUUUAAUGGCACAGCAAGUGCUCAAGCUCUAGUCUUCUGUUAAUCUUGCUGAAAGAUAUGGCAUAGCCUGCUGUUGCAGAGAGGAAGGAGAAGUGGUAGCAAGCAGGUAAGUGUUUUGAAGGGAUGAGGGCAACAGCUACUAAAGAAAAAUAUGCGAGACAGAUGCAGUAGCAGCCUUCAGCCUGUGCACAGAGUGUGGAUCACAAUUCUCCAAUUCUCU
rnacentral:lncRNA from 10 species